AUGGACGAAGUCUGACGGAGCAUGCCGCGUGAGUGAUGAAGGUUUUCGGAUCGUAAAGCUCUGUUGCCAGGGAAGAACACUUGGGAGAGUAACUGCUCUCAAGGUGACGGUACCUGAGAAGAAAGCCCCGGCUAACUACGUGCCAGCAGCCGCGGUAAU
rnacentral:rRNA from 1 species